rnacentral:rRNA from 1 species
GCCUACGACCAUCUCACCCUGAAUGCGCCCGAUCUCGUCUGAUCUCGGAAGCUAAGCAGAGUCGAGCCUGGUUAGUACUUGGAUGGGAGACUGCCUGCGAAUUUACCAGGUGUUGUAGGCU